UACGAAGGGGGCUAGCGUUGCUCGGAAUCACUGGGCGUAAAGGGUGCGUAGGCGGGUUUUUAAGUCAGAGGUGAAAUCCUGGAGCUCAACUCCGGAACUGCCUUUGAAACUGCAGUGCUAGAAUUCUGGAGAGGCGAGUGGAAUUCCGAGUGUAGAGGUGAAAUUCGUAGAUAUUCGGAAGAACACCAGUGGCGAAGGCGACUCGCUGGACAGACAUUGACGCUGAGGUGCGAAAGCGUGGGGAGCAAACAGG
rnacentral:rRNA from 1 species